rnacentral:rRNA from 13 species
UUUAUUGGAGAGUUUGAUCCUGGCUCAGGAUGAACGCUGGCGGCGUGCCUAAUACAUGCAAGUCGAGCGA